GACGUAGGGCGCGAGCGUUGUCCGGAUUUAUUGGGCGUAAAGAGCUCGUAGGCGGUCUGUCGCGUCGGCUGUGAAAACUCGGGGCUCAACCCCGAGCCUGCAGUCGAUACGGGCAGACUAGAGUGCUGUAGGGGAGACUGGAAUUCCUGGUGUAGCGGUGAAAUGCGUAGAGAUCCGGAAGAACACCGGUGGCGAAGGCGGCCUGCUGGGCAGUGAGCUGACGCUGAUGCGCGACAGCGUGGGGAGCAAACAGG
rnacentral:rRNA from 1 species